rnacentral:rRNA from 1 species
UACGAAGGGGGCUAGCGUUGUUCGGAAUUACUGGGCGUAAAGCGCACGUAGGCGGACAUUUAAGUCAGGGGUGAAAUCCCGGAGCUCAACUCCGGAACUGCCUUUGAUACUGUCGAUCUGGAGUAUGGAAGAGGUGAGUGGAAUUCCGAGUGUAGAGGUGAAAUUCGUAGAUAUUCGGAGGAACACCAGUGGCGAAGGCGGCUCACUGGUCCAUUACUGACGCUGAGGUGCGAAAGCGUGGGGAGCAAACAGG